ACGAAAACACACCUCCUUCCCCAUCCAACACACACUUACACACACAACAGCACACCUCCUUUAACCAUGAAACACACACGUACACACAGAACAACAAAAGCAGCUCCUUCACCCAUCCAACCGACAGGUAUACACACAAAAUAUACCUACUUCCCACAUCCAACACACACGUUCACACACAAGAGCACAUGCACCUCCUCUUCACCCAUCCAACACACACGCACACACACAAAGACACAUGCAGGUCCUUUACCCAUCCAACACAAACGCACACACACAACAAUACACCUCCUUCCCCCGCUCAAACACACACGUACACACACAACACACACCUCCUUUCCUGACUCAACCCACACUUACAUACACAAAAAAGAGAACUCCUUCCUCCAUCCAACACACACGUAAACACAACAGAACAUGCACCUCCUUUCCCCAUUCGACAGACACGCACAUACACAAAACACACCUCCUUCCCCAUUCAACACACACUUACACACACAA